AAGGUGAAUUGAAUGAAGACAUUCUUCGUUUUGAAGUAUGAAUCUAAAUCUGUCAAAUCAGACUCAUCAUUUUAAUCAAAAUGAGGGAGGUCAUUUAAGAUCAAACACAGAGCUUAAACAGACUUUCACUAUUACCAAGGCGACCAGAGGAGGUCGAACCUGGGUUGAGUUUUACUAUUUAGCUCACCUGCGCAGCUCGCACGCCAUGUGGUUUUCUUAAUUGGUUCAUUGGUUGCAUCUGGUGCAUUUCACAUAAGAGGGACACGGACAAUACGUUUGUGUCCUCCACUGUUUGGCAGUUUAUCGUCUCCCAAACACGGUUAAAGACUUUUUGAAGUAAAGAGGAGCAUCUCAUCUGGACCUGAUGUCUAUCAUGGAUAUCUAACUGCAGUACUGUGAGUAUCCCAACAUUAACAGGAAGAUGAACUGCAAACUGUAAGUCAUUCGUUUCUCAUUACUCUUGGGCACAUUGAUGUAUGUUGGCUUCCUGGUGAGUUAACCCGUUAGCUGAAGGUUGAUCUGAUUAGUAAGGAUCUUUUAUUGGUUCGUGGGUUACUUAGGCGUUUGGUUUAUGUUGGUUUUAAUGGUUUGUUAAAAUGGUUUCAGGUUCAAAGUUAUUGUUGUAAGCUGGAGUAAUGGGUUGGGUUCUGAUGUCUUCAGUCUUCUUUCCAGCUACUCUCCUGAGCUCUGCAUCUUCAUUACAUGAGUGUUGCUCUACUGUGAGGGUGUGGUCUGAGUGAGCAGAGGUGCAUACUGGGAUGCAGAGCUGUCUGAAGUCUACAGGUCUGUAGACACGCCCCCUCAGGGGAAACCGAGUGUUUGAGAAACCGUCGUGACGUCAGUUACAUGGACUGGAAUGUUUUUUGAGAUGGAGACGGGGAUGCAGAAGGAGAAACACCAGGGGGAGAUGAGCGGGCUCCUCAUCUCAACGACUUCAACACAACUUCAGUCUGACACAGAGAACGAUGGAACACUUUCAACAGUCCCCUCCAGGCACCGUGACUCCUCAGGAACAGUUUCAUUUCAGAGAAGGUCUCAUUUGGGGCCAUUCCAAGAUGGAUCCUGCUCCUCAAGAGCCACCCCCCUCCACCGGGUGGUCUUCUGAACAGAUGAUCUCCUUCCUGUCAUCAGGCUGUCUAAAGCUGCACCGUUUGCAUCUGUGACGGCCCCUCAAUCACUAAACCACUGGACUACAAACGCAUGACUUCAGAGAUGUUGAAAGAGCGUGAAUGGAGACACCAAGCAUUAUCCAUCACCAAUGUGGGACGCCACUGAAGAAUGUUGUGCAUAAUUUACGUCUCAGCAGACAUUGGUGGUUCUGUUCUGGGUGCCCUGACAGAUGAGCUGGGGGUGGAUGAUGGAAUGUUAUUUGGCAUGAGGUUUUUACCCUGCAUGAAUUUUUGGUCUUUUAUGGCUCAGUGGUGUGUGUGGGUUUGACAUGAGAUGGAAGAUUUUUGAGCAUCGCAAGGCUUCUAGUGUGUGUGUGUGUGUGUCCCACUCACACCCGGCACGGGGUUCUACGUGUGGGUUCUGCGUCCUGCGUCCUGCGUCCUGCUUGCUUUGACAUUGAUAAUUUUCUUACGGGGGUCUGUGUGAUUGGCUUGGUGUAUUGGAAUGGUCAACUAAGUCAUACCUGCUGGACGGCCACACGUUUACUUGAGGCCUCCAGUAGACAUGAAGAGCCCUGAGCGAUAUCCUACACACUGGGCAGGAAGGAGAGUAUCCAAAUCAAGUGUAAAAGGAUGCAAGCGGUGUGUUCAGAUCAGCGACUUCAAACUAGGACUACACCAAUCAGGAUCAAUGGAGGAUGGACACCUAAAGGCAUUCCACAAGGAGACUCUGAAGUUGGAAAGGGACCUCAAUGGAUGUUCAAGAUGACCUUCAGACCUGUAAUGAGGCGGAUCUUCCUACCUGGCUGGAUUGAUGGAGAGCCCUGUGGAUCUUGUCUUGCUCUCAGUAGCACGUCUUCUCAGGCUGAACUGUAUUUGCUGUACAGGACUAGCUGAACGAUCGGUUCCCUUAAAUCAGAACCAAUCUGGGAACUCCAACUAGUGCGCUCUUCAAGCUGAAGUUGUGCUCUUCAGCUGAGGAGGCAAGGAAACCUUCACUGGGGCUACAAUGUGUAUAGAGGAGAACGUUUCAAAGUGUUCCAUAGUACUCUGAUGAAGACCGUUGUUGUGUUUCACUGGCUGAGAGGAAGAACCCUCACAUCUUCCUCUUGGACUUUAUCCUUUGAGAUUCCUGGUGCCAUCUUGAAGGAUAUUCCAGCUCAUGUAACUGAUGUCACGACAGAUUCUCAAACACUUUGUUUCUCCUGAGGGGUGUGUCUAUAGAACUGAAGACUUCAGACAGCACUGUAUCCCAGCACUCAUCUCUGCUCGCUCAGACCCCACCCUCAUGAGUAGGAUGCAACACUAUAGCGAUGGAGAUGUAGAGAUUUAUAAGUAAAGAGGGAGCAGACAAUGAUGAUUCGAACACAAUUGCAAUUUAAGUCUUUAAAUCUUUAAACCAUGAAGAUGGUUGGACAGUUCAGGAAUUGGGCUUAAUUUUAUUAUGGGCAGUCCUUUCGCUCAAAUGCCCACUUCUCACUGGACCUGUACAUGUGUUGGUUGGCUGGCAUGAUUUGCUGUUGGUAAUGAGGCGGUCAGGGUGACAUUGCUUGGCUCUCUGUGAGCUCACUGUUUAGAUUUGAGCUGUAUGGUUUGUACCCUGAAUAUCGAUAAUUGUUUUUUAUUUUAAAAUUAAUUUAAUUAUUCCAUUGUUUUUAGGCAAGGAUUUGAGGCUUUAAGUUGUUGUGGAACGUACAUGGUAGUUCGGUUUUUUCGUACGGUUUUGAGUGAUAUAACUUGUACACACUGGGUGCAUAAUAAUGUAAAGGUACACUGAAUAGCAGUAAUGACCAACAGCAACAAACAGAUCACAUCAAGGUAAGUCUGUUGGCUGUGUUUUUAUGAAGACCAUCGCUGGACUUCAGGAUCUUCCUCCGUUCAGCUCAAGGUGAGGCGCUGGUUCUGUUUUUUCUUUGGUUGGUUCCGGCCGGAAUGUUCGGAUUCCAGUCGGACGGUUUGUGCUUCCCGCCGUGGAAGGUUCUGAGUGCGCAACACUUGAUUUAGUCUCAAUGGUUAGCAUAAAACGUUGCAGUCUUGACAACCAUAAGAACCCACGUGGCCGUUAAUUAGACGUGAAUCCCCUGAGGGUAUCUGGUGGAACGUUCUGGAUGUAUUUGCGUAUCUUCAAGCCGUUGCCAACAUAAACUAUUUUUCAGUCGGUUUCCAUUAGGAAUUGUUGCCCCUUAUCUUAAACUACUUAAGUUUGAUAUUAAAUAUACACUCACACGUACAUCGUACAAUAUGUUGAUAAUUUUGCCGACUUAAACCACGUUGACGGGACUCUCGCUGCGUUCAAAUCAGCGUUCUACUUGCGGGCCCAUUUCUGAUAAUCAGUGAAGGCUGAAGAUCAUUUCAAGGUGGAUGACAAUUUAGCAUUUCUUCGACGGAACCCUGCACCUGAAUAUGGCUGAGUAUAUUUGAUUUAAUAUCGAUACUGCUUAGUGUUCUUUGUUACUUCA